GACGUAGGGCGCGAGCGUUGUCCGGAUUUAUUGGGCGUAAAGAGCUCGUAGGCGGCUUGUCGCGUCGACUGUGAAAUCCCGCGGCUCAACUGCGGGUCUGCAGUCGAUACGGGCAGGCUAGAGUUCGGUAGGGGAGACUGGAAUUCCUGGUGUAGCGGUGAAAUGCGCAGAUAUCAGGAGGAACACCGGUGGCGAAGGCGGAUCUCUGGGCCAUAACUGACGCUGAGGAGCGAAAGCCAUGGGGGAGCGAACAGGG
rnacentral:rRNA from 1 species